rnacentral:SRP_RNA from 1 species
UGAAGGGCAAGGGCCAAGCUCCUUUGCAAGGCGCAAAGGGCCAGGCCGGCAAGGGCGCAGCCUUCCCUGCUCCCGGAGGCGGCAAGGGGCCCGC